rnacentral:rRNA from 1 species
CUUGCGAGGUUAAGAUGAAAAGUCGGAGCCGUAGCGAAAGCGAGUCUGAACAGGGCGAAUGAGUAAGCAGAUGUAGACCCGAAACCAAGUGACCUACCCAUGACCAGGUUGAAGGUGUGGUGAAACACACUGGAGGACCGAACCCAUGUAUGUUGAAAAAUGCUGGGAUGAGUUGUGGGUAGCGGUGAAAUUCCAAACGAACUUGGAGAUAGCUGGUUCUCUCCGAAAUAGCUUUAGGGUUAGCCUCGGAGGAUGGAUCAUGGAGGUAGAGCACUGUUUGAACUAGGGGCCCAUCAAGGGUUACUGAAUUCAGAUAAACUCCGAAUACCAUCGAUCUUACUCCGGGAGUCAGACAGUGAGCGAUAAGGUCCAUUGUCGAAAGGGGAACAGCCCAGAUCACCAGUUAAGGUCCCUAAAUUUAUGCUAAGUGGAAAAGGAUGUGGCGUUGCACAGACAACUAGGAUGUUGGCUCAGAAGCAGCCACCAUUUAAAGAGUGCGUAAUAGCUCACUAGUCGAGUGGCACUGCGCCGAAAAUAUACCGGGGCUAAGCAUAAUACCGAAACUGUGGGUGCACCCGUAAGGGUGCGCGGUAGGAGAGCGUUCUAAGGGCGUUGAAGGUCGAUCGUGAGGACGGCUGGAGCGCUUAGAAGUGAGAAUGCCGGCAUGAGUAGCGAAAGAUCAGUGAGAAUCUGAUCCACCGUAUGACUAAGGUUUCCUGGGGAAGGCUCGUCCUCCCAGGGUUAGUCGGGAUCUAAGGCGAGGCCGAGAGGCGUAGUCGAUGACAAGCAGGUUGAGAUUCCUGCACUAGUUUAUUUUGUUUAAGCGAUGGAGGGACGCAGGAGGCUAAGGAAAGCGCACGGCUGGAAAUGUGCGCCCAAGCAGCAAGUCUGACAGCGAGUGAAAUGCUUGCAGUCUUAAGGACAAGCUGUGAUGGGGAGCGAAAUUAUAGUAGCGAAGUUCCUGAUGUCACACUGCCAAGAAAAGCUUCUAGUGAGAAAUAAACUACCCGUACCGCAAACCGACACAGGUAGUCGAGGAGAGUAUCCUCAGGUGAGCGAGCGAACUCUCGUUAAGGAACUCGGCAAAAUGACCCCGUAACUUCGGAAGAAGGGGUGCUGACCGCAAGGUCAGCCGCAGUGAAUAGGCCCAAACAACUGUUUAUCAAAAACACAGGUCUCUGCUAAAUCGUAAGAUGAUGUAUAGGGGCUGACGCCUGCCCGGUGCUGGAAGGUUAAGAGGAUGAGUUAGCGCAAGCGAAGCCCAGAAUUGAAGCCCCAGUAAACGGCGGCCGUAACUAUAACGGUCCUAAGGUAGCGAAAUUCCUUGUCGGGUAAGUUCCGACCCGCACGAAAGGCGUAAUGAUUUGGGCACUGUCUCAACGAGAGACUCGGUGAAAUUAUAGUACCCGUGAAGAUGCGGGUUACCCGCGACAGGACGGAAAGACCCCAUGGAGCUUUACUGUAGCUUGAUAUUGAGUGUUUGUACCGCUUGUACAGGAUAGGUAGGAGCCGUAGAGAUCGGAACGCUAGUUUCGAUGGAGGCGUUGGUGGGAUACUACCCUAGCUGUAUGAACACUCUAACCCGCGCCACUAAUCGUGGCGGGAGACAGUGUCAGGUAGGCAGUUUGACUGGGGCGGUCGCCUCCUAAAAUGUAACGGAGGCGCCCAAAGGUUCCCUCAGAAUGGUUGGAAAUCAUUCGCAGAGUGUAAAGGUAUAAGGGAGCUUGACUGCGAGACUGACAAGUCGAGCAGGGACGAAAGUCGGGCUUAGUGAUCCGGUGGUUCCGUAUGGAAGGGCCAUCGCUCAACGGAUAAAAGCUACCCUGGGGAUAACAGGCUUAUCUCCCCCAAGAGUCCACAUCGACGGGGAGGUUUGGCACCUCGAUGUCGGCUCAUCGCAUCCUGGGGCUGUAGUCGGUCCCAAGGGUUGGGCUGUUCGCCCAUUAAAGCGGUACGCGAGCUGGGUUCAGAACGUCGUGAGACAGUUCGGUCCCUAUCCGUCGCGGGCGCAGGAAAUUUGAGAGGAGCUGUCCUUAGUACGAGAGGACCGGGAUGGACGUUCCGCUGGUGUACCAGUUGUGCCGCCAGGCGCAUCGCUGGGUAGCUAUGAACGGCAGGGAUAAACGCUGAAAGCAUCUAAGUGUGAAGCCCCCCUCGAGAUGAGAUUUCCCAUUCCUAUAUGGAAGUAAGACCCCUGAGAGAUGAUCAGGUAGAUAGGCUGGAAGUGGAAGUGCAGCGAUGCAUGGAGCGGACCAGUACUAAUCGGUCGAGGACUUAACCA